AAGCUGUUUUGGUCCUGAACUCACCAUUAUCUAUAACUGAAAUUACACAUGCAAGCCUCCCCAACCCAGUGCACUAGCCCCACCACUAUAAAACUAGCCUCGGAGCUGACAUCAGGCACGCCACCACGGCAGCCCAAAACGCCUCGCUACCGCCACACCCACACGGGACCCAGCAGUGAUAAACAUUAAGCCAUGCGCCAAACGCGACUUAGUCACAGUUAAUUGACCCAAGCCGGUAAAUUUCGUGCCAGCCACCGCGGUUAUACGAAAGGCUACAGAUAAUGCCCCCCGGCGUAAAUAGUGCCUAGAAACCACGGACAUAUCAACUAGACCUGGAAUCCGGAUCGCGUUGUGAAAUACAUCCCUCCGCCAGCACACCACCAGCUCUAAAAUACUGCCACCUUUGACGCCACGAAACCUUUGACACAAACUAGGAUUAGAGACCCUACUAUGCUUAGAUGUAACCCAACCCAUAGAUUGCCACACCACUUGCAAUCCGCCAGAGGACUACAAGUGAAAACUUUAAACUCUAAGGACUUGACGGUGUCCCACCCAUACUAGAGGAGCCUGUCCUAUAAUCGACACCCCACGCUAUACCUUACCCCCCCUAGCCAACCAACCUAUAUACCGCCGUCGCCAGCUCACACUGUGAAUGCACCACCGUAAGCACAAUCAUCACCCAUUAAAACGACAGGUCAAGGUGUAGUUAAUGGGGGGGCAGCGAUGGGCUACAUUUUCUUCACUAGAAAAUACCACCCGCACCAUGAAACCUUUGCCCACAGGUGGAUUUAGAAGUAAGCCCUGACAAGACAUGUCAACCUGAAAUACGCCCUGGGACGAGUACACACCGCCCGUCGCCCUCCUCACGGCCUAAAACAAAUAACUAAUACGCACAUUCGCACCUAGAGAUGAGGUAAGUCGUAACAUGGUAAGUGUACUGGAAAGUGCACUUAG
rnacentral:ncRNA from 1 species